ensembl:lncRNA
CUCUAAAUAUUUCAACGCAAAGGGGAAGUACGAGGAAGUGAAACCGUAUCUCACAGAGGACAUAUAUACUUGCUGUGAACAAAUCCACCCUGCAGCCUAUUUCAAGGGAAGUCGCUCAGAGGUGGAUUCAUCAUAUUCAUAACCAGCUCAAAGCCUUAAAGUCCUUCAAGGCCGGACUGACAGAGCUGCGGGCCACCAAAGACAACGAGUUUGACCAUGCAGUGAACGAUGCCCUCAUGAGGUUUGCAGUGCACCAGUGUUUUUUCAGGUUGGGGAAACAGGUGACUGUAGCUGUGACAGUCCAGGUUGACCAUGCAGAGACUGUCCUGCCGCUGCUCACCCUCCUGCAGGGCCUCUUCAAGGACAUCGAUGCCUUGACCCCAAGCCUGUGACCUUCCCUGGAUUGCAGGCCCCCGUGCCGCUCUAUCAAGAUGUCAAGGAUCGCUACAGGGAGCUGCUCUUUGACUUCGAGACUGAGUGUCUGUUUAAGAGUCCCGCUUAAUUCAAAGUGGCCAGGGUAGAUCCUGUAAAAGAGGCUGACCUUUCCUUUGGUAAACAAAAUUAACACACGCUCCUACAAUAAAAAUGUUAGUAUUUGAACGAGCAUUUUUCUGAUGCUAGUGAUUUAAAU